rnacentral:misc_RNA from 1 species
UCCUAGCCCAGAUAGAAACGGUUACCCCGCAACUUGGGUAGGAGAGUUGGAGGGUUGGGAGAUGGAAAGCACUGGCGUGAGGAGUAAGAGUGGAUAGCUGGAAAUAGC